CUGCCUGUGAGGUGUGUGGGAUGCCGGCUUUGUGAACCAUGGCUGUUUCCCCACUGCAGCCUCCACUUGGUCACUGUUCAGAGCCUUUGAACUGGGUCCAGUGAAUGUUUACCUCGUGCUAAUGUAGAUUUCCCACGUGAUGCACUGGGAUAACGUGAAACCUGCUCAACUUGAGCAGCUCAUUUUGUGCUCCAAAUGGAAAUCUGGAGGAUGGGAGCAAGUGCUUCUCUGGCCAAAGAAAGAGCAAACUCAGCUGAAGAAGAGCCAUCGCUGGGCAUGCCAAAGGGACCAGAACCAUCACCACCUUCCCCUUCGGUCACUGAUGCUCAGUCACACAGAGGUGCUGCCCUGCCCUAGGAUUUUACCAUGCACAGGAAGGCUAAUGACGUCAAACACUAAGAACAGUCCUGGGUUUACCCACAACCUUCAUCUCAGGAAUUGUGCAUGUAGCCAGUCGUGA
ensembl:lncRNA